CCGAGCCCUUAUUAAUGAGACAAUCAGCAUCUCCUUCUUCUCCAACUUAACAGAUCCACGCUGCAACUUGAAGAGAGGAAAGGGAGAGCUUUCCAAACCCUAGCCCCUUUAAUCAAACUACCAUAACUUUUCCGUCCGAGCUCCGAUUGCCGCACCGAUCGCGGUCACGCGUCCAGCGCGUCGAGCUCUACAUUUCUGUCGGAUCAAUUUUACCGGUUCGAUCUAGCUUUCGAAGCUUAUUGGGCUUGAUUUAUUAUGCGUAUGGGUAUGAUGAGAACAACCUAAACCAUAGUCAAUUCUGAUUUUAUUAUGAAGAGGCUGAAUUUGGAAUAUAUAUGUGAAUUAGGUGUGAAUUAAGUUUGUAUAUAAGCAUUGAAAUUGAAAAGUAAGCAUUUGGAAGCUUGGUGGUGAUUGAAGCUAAGGUUGUGGUUGAUUUUUUUGAGCUUGAGGGGCUGUGUUGUGACUUGGGUGGCUGCCUUGGACUAAAUAAAGUGAUCGGCCAAGAUAUAGGUCGAGAGACUCCUCGCUAGGCAUUUGGAUUUCCUGAAGCGGAGUAGUCUGGAAUAUUUAGGAUUUUCUGUUUAUUUAUAUAUGUAUAUAUGUACUUAGCUUGCUCUCCAAGAUACUUGAUUAUUUUUGUUCCUCAUAGAGGUUACAGGAGGGCUAGGGUCCUUUUUCUGUAUUUUGGGUAUUUGGGAUACUUAUGUUUAUAUAUGUAUAUAUUCUCCGGCCAGCCUUGACUUCGCAGGCUGAGUCAGGAGCUAGUUUCACUGUA